UACGGAGGGUGCGAGCGUUGUCCGGAAUCACUGGGCGUAAAGGGCGCGUAGGCGGCUUCUCAAGCGUGUGGUGAAAGUCCGGGGCUCAACCCCGGAUCGGCCGUGCGGACUGGGGAGCUCGAGUUCUGUAGAGGCGGGUGGAAUUCCGGGUGUAGCGGUGGAAUGCGUAGAGAUCCGGAAGAACACCGGUGGCGAAGGCGGCCUGCUGGGCAGUAGCUGACACUGAGGCGCGACAGCGUGGGGAGCAAACAGG
rnacentral:rRNA from 1 species